CCUACGUGAGGCAGCAGUGGGGAAUAUUGCACAAUGGGGGAAACCCUGAUGCAGCGACGCCGCGUGGGUGAAGAAGUAUUUCGGGUUGUAAAGCCCUAUCAGCAGGGAAGAAAGAUGUCGGUACCUGACUAAGAAGCACCGGCUAAAUACGUGCCAGCAGCCGCGGUAAUACGUAUGGUGCAAGCGUUAUCCGGAUUUACUGGGUGUAAAGGGAUCGCAGGCGGCACACUAAGCCCGAUGGGAAAACCCGCGGCCCAACCGCGGGAGUGCAUUUGGUACUGGCGAGCGGGAGUACCGGAGGGGCAGGCGGAAUUCCUAGUGUAGCGGUGAAAUGCGUAGAUAUUAGGAGGAACACCAGUGGCGAAGGCGGCCUGCUGGACGGAGACUGACGCUGAGGCUCGAAAGCGUGGGGAGCAAACAGGAUUAGAUACCCUGGUAGUC
rnacentral:rRNA from 1 species